ACCAGCCAAGCCAAGUCCUCCCAGAAGCAACACCCAUAUUUGAGUUAUAACCUCAUUCUCAGAUAUUGCCCCAGAUGGGAUUGGACGAUAAGGUUCAUUAAUUGCAUCAAUCUCUCGAUCAUACCAAUCAUUGAUUGUUUGUGUAUAGCCAGUGAGAAAUGGACCAGACAUAAGCAUGCAAGUAAUCGAUUUUGCCACAUCCUCGAAAUUCCAAUGGAAGUUACCAGAAGCGGCAGCACCACAGACUACUCCCCAAACCAAGGGCGGCCAUGUAACAGGCUUUGUCAAUUGAAGACGAAUCUUCCAUUUAUUAGUUUCUUGCGCAGCACCUUUAAUUCCAAGAAGCUGGUUGAAGCUGGAACCACCACUUGUCGGCGCUUUAUCUGGUGCCUGAGAUUUAACUUCGUUCGUGUCAGUUUCAGCGGCAAUAACCGAUAGCCUCCUUCUAGAAAACGAAACAGAAGCCGGCGAUAAAGCAGACUGAAUUCGAACUCGAUUGGCUUGGAUGCUCGAUAGUCUUAGAGAUGGAGCUG
rnacentral:misc_RNA from 1 species